rnacentral:rRNA from 1 species
AGUGAACGCUGGCGGUGUGCUUAACACAUGCAAGUCGAUCGGUAACAGGUGUAGCAAUACAUGCUGACGAGAGGCGGACGGGUGAGGAACGCUAGGGAAUCUGCCCAUCAGCGGGGGACAACCCGGGGAAACUUGGGCUAAUACCGCAUACGCUCUACGGAGGAAAGCUGGGGACCGCAAGGCCUGGCACUGAUGGAUGAGCCUAAGUCGGAUUAGCUAGUUGGCGGGGUAACGGCUCACCAAGGCGACGAUCCGUAGCUGGUCUGAGAGGACGAUCAGCCACACUGGGACGGAGACACGGCCCAGACUCCUACGGGAGGCAGCAGUGGGGAAUAUUGGACAAUGGGGGAAACCCUGAUCCAGCGACGCCGCGUGGGUGAAGAAGGCCUGCGGGUUGUAAAGCCCUUUCGAUAGGGACGAAAGCUCUCGACCUAACACGUCGGGAGGUUGACUUAACCUACAAAAGAAGCACCGGCUAACUCUGUGCCAGCCGCCGCCGUAA